rnacentral:rRNA from 1 species
CGACCGGCGCACGGGUGCGUAACGCGUAUGCAACCUACCUUUAACAGGGGGAUAACACUGAGAAAUUGGUACUAAUACCCCAUAAUAUCAUAGAAGGCAUCUUUUAUGGUUGAAAAUUCCGAUGGUUAGAGAUGGGCAUGCGUUGUAUUAGCUAGUUGGUGGGGUAACGGCUCACCAAGGCGACGAUACAUAAGGGGACUGAGAGGUUAACCCCCCACACUGGUACUGAGACACGGACCAG